rnacentral:lncRNA from 1 species
CGCAUGCCUAUAAUCCCAGCGACUCAGGAGGCCAAGGAAAGAAGAUCGAAAGUUCAAGGCCAGCCUCAGCAACUUGGUGAGGCCCUGAGUAACUUAGUGGGCUCUAUCUCAAAGUAAAAAAAUAAAAAGGGCUGGGGAUGUGACUCAGCUGUUAAGCACCCCUGGGUUCAGUCCCUGGUACCAAAAAAAAAUUUUUUUUUAAUUUCAGAGGAAAUGGAAAUACAUUUUUAAACAUCAGUUUCAUUUCUGGCAGACUCGGGGCUCAACAUCAGUGGAGUUCAUCAGCCCAGAGAUGACCUGUGGCAUGAAAAUCCCAUCCCAUGCCAACACUCAAACCAUGAGCCACUUGUUAGAAAUUUGAAACAGCAAGUACAUUGCAGAGAAAAUUCUAGAAAUUGCAUACCUCCAUUUACUAACGAGCUGCCAUCUCCUCAAAAGACCUCAAUAUUUUGUCCUCAGCGCUGACUCGAACUGACGGUCUGAUUACAAGGAUUUGGAAGAAAGUUACUUUUUCCAUACAACUGAGUCCAAGAUUGACUCACAUCUCCAAGAGAAGGAGAUUGUUCCUGACCAGCCAAGCUCAGGCUCCCAAAACACAAAGUGGUGAUGUUUCCAAAGGGACCCUGCUGGGGCUGCAGAGCUGGGCCUGGGGCUGCAGAGCAACAGGUGGUCUUUAAAGUUGAUUUCGGGACUUGGAUGGGGCCUCUGUGUCCCCAAGCGAGUCCUUGAUACGGCUAAACCUCAGUUUCCUGAUCUGUAAAUUGGGAAUAAUGAGAGUACCUGCUUCAUUGUUUGAUCUGGGAGAAUUAAAUGAGAUGACACUUAGCAAUUAAAUCCCAGGAAGAGGGCUGGGGAUGUGGCUCAAGCGGUAGCGCGCUCGCCUGGCAUGCGUGCGGCCUGGGUUCGAUCCUCAGCACCACAUACAAACAAAGGUGUUGUGUCCGCCGAGAACUAAAAAAUAAAUAUUAAAA